rnacentral:lncRNA from 1 species
AAGAUCGGAACAGAAAUCGAAUAGCUGUUUUCCACCUGCAAAGAGAGGAGCCGCACGGUCACCCACGCUGAGUGAGGCGCCCCUCUGGCCCCUGGGGCCGUGGCGUGGCGGGUGGGGCCCGGCGGGCAGGGACACAGACCCGACCCCACUGCUCCGGAUCCAACCUGGAGGGUCGGCCCCAGGACCGGCGACACACCGGACAGCGAAGCACCUGGUGUGCAGGUCAACUGGCCAGGCGGGCAGCGGGGGUGUCUAGGGCACACCCAGACACCAGGCCCCCAGGCCGAGGGGCGGCACAAUCUCCAGGAGACCCUCCCGCCACCUCUUGGAGGUGACCCUGAGCCGAGACCAAGCUCACAAGAACCCCGGGGCCUUCUCAGCAGCCACCCUCAGCACCCUGCAGACAGCCCAGUGCUUGAGGAAGACCAGCCAUCAGUGAGCGACCCCUCACGCUCACCACUGUGGGCUCCCCGCCUCCUCUCCCCCGCACCCCGCACAUCUGAAGGCCCCUCAGACCCACUGACUCCACAGGACAGAGAAGGCUCCCCGUGAGCGUGGGCUCCCAGUGGACCCCCCAGCCCACACCACCGCCGACACUGUCACACAACAGAGGACGGCCAGCGGCUCCUACCAGAUCUGCCACCAUCUUCUGCAUGUAUUUCGUGCAUUUUUCCACCUCGUUCUUGGGCCCCCUGAGUUGAACAAUAUCGCUUUUCUGGGCUGGGUCUGGAAAGUUGAUGAUAACCUAGAACAAGUCAGCAGGACGCCGAGCUCAAUUAUCGGUUGAGGACUGACCCCCAAAGGCUGAAUGCCCUCCCCUGCGGUCAGACGAGCCCUAGGGGCUAGAGCUCGCCCGUGGGAAAAACGGUACCUCCGGGAAUUUGUCCCGAAUCUCUCGGAUCCGCUCCCCCUUCUGCCCGAUGAUGGUGCGAUGGAACCUCUGCUCGAUGAUCAGAUCCUUGACCAUGGCUUCGAUCUGCUCCUGGGCCGCGCUGACGUCCUCCGUGGGGCCUUCCAGGGUGAUCCUGUCCUCGCCUUCCGUGAACUCAACGUGAACCUGCCGCCAACACGAGGCCGGCCUGUCAGGACAGCGCCGCCCAGCCCAGCGAGCCCGAGGCCCGCGGCCGCCCUCCCGG